rnacentral:tRNA from 1 species
AUUUAUGUAAUAUAAAAAUUAUAUUUGACUUCCAAUCAAAAAAUCUAAUAACUUAGCAUAAAUU